rnacentral:rRNA from 1 species
GAUGAACGCUAGCGGCAGGCUUAAUACAUGCAAGUCGUGGGGCAGCAUGAAGUAGGAAUACUUUGAUGGCGACCGGCAAACGGGUGCGGAACACGUACACAACCUUCCUUUUAGUGGGGAAUAGCCCAGAGAAAUUUGGAUUAAUACCCCGUAACAUAGCGAUGUGGCAUCACAUUGCUAUUAUAGCUUCGGCGCCAGAUGAUGGGUGUGCGUAUGAUUAGAUAGUUGGCGAGGUAACGGCUCACCAAGUCUACGAUCAUUAGCUGAUGUGAGAGCAUGAUCAGCCACACGGGCACUGAGACACGGGCCCGACUCCUACGGGAGGCAGCAGUAAGGAAUAUUGGUCAAUGGACGAAAGUCUGAACCAGCCAUGCCGCGUGAAGGAUUAAGGUCCUCUGGAUUGUAAACUUCUUUUAUAUGGGACGAAAAAAGGUCUUUCUAGAUCACUUGACGGUACCAUAUGAAUAAGCACCGGCUAACUCCGUGCCAGCAGCCGCGGUAAAAC